AUUGAACGCUGGCGGCAGGCCUAACACAUGCAAGUCGAGCGGCUCGCCGGACGGGUGAGUAAGACCAAGGUAUCGGCCUGGUCGUGGGGGACAAGGCUCGGAACCGGACGCUAUUGCCACACACUUGCAAGGUCGCCUAGGUCGGAGUUGCUGGUUGGUGAGGUAAUGGCUCACCAAGGCCACGAGCCUGAACUGGUCUGAGUGGAUGAUCAGUCACACUGGAACUGAGACACGGCCCAGACUCCUACGGGAGGCAGCAGGGGGGAAUAUGGGACAAUGGGCGAAAGCCUGAUCCAGCCAUGCCGCGUGUGUGAAGAAGGUCUUCGGAUUGUAAAGCACUUUAAGUUGGGAGGCGUUACCGACAGAAUAAGCACCGGCUAACUCUGUGCCAGCAGCCGCGGUAAUUC
rnacentral:rRNA from 1 species